GACGUAAGUGGCAAGCGUUAUCCGGAAUUAUUGGGUGUAAAGGGUAUGUAGGUGGUAAUGUAAGUCAAUGGUGAAAGUUCUAGGCUCAACCUAGUAAAGCUUUUGAUACUGCAUAACUAGAGUACAGGAGAGGAAAGUGGAAUUACCAGUGUAGCGGUGAAAUGCGUAGAUAUUGGUAGGAACGUCCAUGACGAAGGUAGCUUUCUGGACUGAUACUGACACUAAAAUACGAAAGCUAGGGGAGCAAACAGG
rnacentral:rRNA from 1 species